UGAGAAGUAGUGCCCGUACCGCAAACCGACACAGGUAGAUGAGGAGAGAAUCCUAAGGCCGGCGGAAGAAUUGCAGUUAAGGAACUAGGCAAAUUGACCCCGUAAGUUCGCGAGAAGGGGUGCCUGCGAGAGCAGGCCGCAGAGAAUAGGCCCAAGCAACUGUUUAGCAAAAACACAGGUCUCUGCUAAAGCGCAAGCUGAUGUAUAGGGGCUGACGCCUGCCCGGUGCUGGAAGGUUAAGGGGAACACUUAGCGCAAGCGAAGGUGUGAACUUAAGCCCCAGUAAACGGCGGCCGUAACAAUAACGGUCCUAAGGUAGCGAAAUUCCUUGUCAGGUAAGUUCUGACCCGCACGAAUGGCGUAAUGACUUGGGCACUGUCUCAACUGCAAAUCCGGCGAAGUUGUAGUGCGAGUGAAGAUGCUCGCUACCCGCGAUUGGACGGAAAGACCCCGUAGAGCUUUACUGCAGCUUAGCAUUGAAUUCCGGUAUUGUCUGUACAGGAUAGGUGGGAGACUGGGAAACUAGGGCGUCAGCCUUAGUGGAGUCAACCUUGGGAUACCACCCUGACAGUACUGGGGUUCUAACAGGACGCCAUGAAUCUGGUGACUGGACAUUGUUAGGUGGGCAGUUUGACUGAGGCGGUCGCCUCCUAAAAAGUAACGGAGGCGCCCAAAGGUUCCCUCAGAACGGUCGGAAAUCGUUCGUAGAGUGCAAAGGCAUAGGGGAGCCUGACUGCGAGACCUGCAAGUCGAGCAGGGACGAAAGUCGGGCUUAGUGAUCCGGUGGUACCUCGUGGGAGGGCCAUCGCUCAACGGAUAAAAGCUACCUCGGGGAUAACAGGCUGAUCUCCCCCAAGAGUCCACAUCGACGGGGAGGUUUGGCACCUCGAUGUCGGCUCGUCGCAUCCUGGGGCUGUAGUAGGUCCCAAGGGUUGGGCUGUUCGCCCAUUAAAGCGGCACGCGAGCUGGGUUCAGAACGUCGUGAGACAGUUCGGUCCCUAUCCGUCGCGGGCGUAGGAAAUUUGAGAGGAGCUGUCCUUAGUACGAGAGGACCGGGAUGGACUGACCUCUGGUGCACCAGUUGUUCCGCCAGGAGCAUGGCUGGGUAGCUAAGUCGGGAAGGGAUAAACGCUGAAAGCAUCUAAGCGUGAAGCCUCCCUCAAGAUGAGAUUUCCCAUAGCAUAAGCUAGUAAGACCCCUUGAAGAACACAAGGUUGAUAGGUCAGAGGUGUAAGUGCGGUAACGUAUGUAGCUGACUGAUACUAAUAGGUCGAGGGCUUGAUC
rnacentral:rRNA from 1 species